AGAGUUUGAUCCUGGCUCAGAUUGAACGCUGGCGGCAGGCUUAACACAUGCAAGUCGAGCGGUAACAUUUCUAGCUUGCUAGAAGAUGACGAGCGGCGGACGGGUGAGUAAUGCUUGGGAAUAUGCCUUUGAGUGGGGGACAACAGUUGGAAACGACUGCUAAUACCGCAUAACGUCUACGGACCAAAGGGGGGGAUCUUCGGACCUCUCGCUCAUUGAUUAGCCCAAGUGAGAUUAGCUAGUUGGUAAGGUAAUGGCUUACCAAGGCGACGAUCUCUAGCUGGUUUGAGAGGAUGAUCAGCCACACUGGGACUGAGACACGGCCCAGACUCCUACGGGAGGCAGCAGUGGGGAAUAUUGCACAAUGGGCGAAAGCCUGAUGCAGCCAUGCCGCGUGUGUGAAGAAGGCCUUCGGGUUGUAAAGCACUUUCAGUUGUGAGGAAAGGGGUGUAGUUAAUAGCUGCAUCCUGUGACGUAACAACAGAAGAAGCACCGCUAACUU
rnacentral:rRNA from 1 species